rnacentral:rRNA from 1 species
GGAUGCGAUCAUACUAGCACUAAAGCACCGGAUCCCAUCAGAACUCCAAAGUUAAGCGUGCUUGGGCGAGAGUAGUACUAGGAUGGGUGACCUCCUGGGAAGUCCUCGUGUUGCAUUCC